rnacentral:rRNA from 1 species
CACGUAGGGCGCAAGCGUUGUCCGGAAUUAUUGGGCGUAAAGCGCACGUAGGUGGUCCCUUAAGUCGGAUGUGAAAGCCCUCGGCUCAACUGAGGAAGUGCAUCCGAAACUGAGGGGCUGGAGUAUGGUAGAGGGUCGCGGAAUUCCCGGUGUAGAGGUGAAAUUCGUAGAUAUGGGGAGGAACACCGGUGGCGAAGGCGGCCACCUGGACGGUAACUGACGCUGAGACGCGAAAGCGUGGGGAGCAAACAGG